GAUGAACGCUGGCGGCGUGCCUAAUACAUGCAAGUCGAGCGAACGGACGAGAAGCUUGCUUUUCUGAUGUUAGCGGCGGACGGGUGAGUAACACGUGGAUAACCUACCUAUAAGACUGGGAUAACUUCGGGAAACCGGAGCUAAUACCGGAUAAUAUUUUGAACCGCAUGGUUCAAAAGUGAAAGACGGUCUUGCUGUCACUUAUAGAUGGAUCCGCGCUGCAUUAGCUAGUUGGUAAGGUAACGGCUUAUCAAGGCAACGAUGCAUAGCCGACCUGAGAGGGUGAUCGGCCACACUGGAACUGAGACACGGUCCAGACUCCUACGGGAGGCAGCAGUAGGGAAUCUUCCGCAAUGGGCGAAAGCCUGACGGAGCAACGCCGCGUGAGUGAUGAAGGUCUUCGGAUCGUAAAACUCUGUUAUUAGGGAAGAACAUAUGUGUAAGUAACUGUGCACAUCUUGACGGUACCUAAUCAGAAAGCCACGGCUAACUACGUG
rnacentral:rRNA from 1 species